AACGAACGCUGGCGGCAGGCUUAACACAUGCAAGUCGAGCGCCCCGCAAGGGGAGCGGCAGACGGGUGAGUAACGCGUGGGAAUCUACCGUGCCCUACGGAAUAACGCAUGGAAACGUGUGCUAAUACCGUAUACGCCCUACGGGGGAAAGAUUUAUCGGGGUAUGAUGAGCCCGCGUUGGAUUAGCUAGUUGGUGGGGUAAAGGCCUACCAAGGCGACGAUCCAUAGCUGGUCUGAGAGGAUGAUCAGCCACAUUGGGACUGAGACACGGCCCAAACUCCUACGGGAGGAAGCAGUGGGGAAUAUUGGACAAUGGGCGCAAGCCUGAUCCAGCCAUGCCGCGUGAGUGAUGAAGGUCUUAGGAUUGUAAAGCUCUUUCACCGGUGAAGAUAAUGACGGUAACCGGAGAAGAAGCCCCGGCUAACUUCGUGCCAGCAGCCGCCGCAG
rnacentral:rRNA from 1 species